rnacentral:rRNA from 1 species
UACAGAGGGGGCAAGCGUUGUUCGGAAUUACUGGGCGUAAAGGGCGCGUAGGCGGCCUUCUAAGUCGAACGUGAAAUCCCCGGGCUCAACCCGGGAACUGCGUCCGAUACUGGAAGGCUUGAAUCCGGGAGAGGGAUGCGGAAUUCCAGGUGUAGCGGUGAAAUGCGUAGAUAUCUGGAGGAACACCGGUGGCGAAGGCGGCAUCCUGGACCGGCAUUGACGCUGAGGCGCGACAGCGUGGGGACGCAAAC